CCCAGCCCUCACGGCCCCGCUGUCCCCCGCAGAAGGCGGAGUCGGAGGAGCUGGAGACGCAGAAGCCGCAGGUGAAGCUGAGGCGGACGGUGUCCGAGGUGGUCAGGCCGGCGUCCACCCCGCCCAUCAUCGCCUCUGCCAUCAAGGACGACGAUGACGAGGACCGGAUCAUCGCGGAGCUGGAGGUGUUUCAGCGCAGCUCCGCCUCCCCUUUCCUCCCCACGCUCCGUUGUGACCCCCUCGAGGCCGUGUCCCCGGGCCACUCCGACCCGUGGCCCAACGGAGCCGCGGUGGCAGCCGAAGGAUGGAAGAGCGGUGGCGUCUCCAUCCCGGCCAUGAAGGUGGUGAAUCCGGCGUCGCGGCUGAAGCAGGGCCAGCAGGGCAGCCCCGACAAGGGCAAGCACAUCAAGCAGCGCAUGGAGUACAUGCGGAUCCAGGGCCAGCAGCAGAGCUCUCAGAGCUUCCCCCCACCAGCGUCCAGCCAGGAGCAGCUUCCAGCUCCCGCCGCGCGGAAAUUCGGGAAGCAGCGGCCGCCGAAGACACCCCCGGAGCGGCCCCCGAGGGGCCCGGGAGUCCCCGCGUUGUCCCCGCAGGAGGAGAGGACAGCUCCGGCCAGGGCUCGCCGGUGGGUGGCCGGUGGCGCCGAGGGCUCGGGGCCAUCCCGGAUCGCUGCCACCGCGGCCACCACGCCCGGCUCACCUCGAGGGGGGCAAGCGGGACCCCGGGAGUGCCGGAGGGGCCGCAGGGCGCGGGUGUGAACUGGGGAGGGGGAUCCGAGCACUUGGGGCGGGGGCAGACCCUGCGGUGCGGUGAUGCCGGGGGGGUCACCCGGCCGCGGCUCUGUCCCCUCCCUUUGGGGGCGAGCGGGCGGGACGGGAGCCCCGAGCCCCAGGGCAGCAGCCCCGGCCCCGCAGAGCCUGGGGGGGUUCCCGGGGGUCGUGGGAAGGUGGCCCGUGGCCACCUCGCAGCAGCGCGGCCCAGCCAGGUGUGGCACAGGUGUGUGCUGGGUGUGCCCAGGUGUGCCCCAGGUGCACUCCAGGUGUGCCCAGCUGUGCCCAGGUGUGUGUGUGUGUGCGUGUGCUCUGCGUGUGCAACACGAGAUCCAAUCACUCCUUUCGUUCUCUAUUUCGUCCGUGGGUUGAUUCUUUUGUUUGUUUUUUUUUUUUUUAAUUUCGAUUUCAAUUCCUUUUCUCUUCCUUUUCCCCCUUCCUCCGGUUUUUUUUCUUUCGUUAUUUUUUUUCUUUUUUUUUGUAUCUCGAUCAUUUUUGUACAGAAGAAACGAGAGCCUUUUUUUUUUGAAUAA
rnacentral:lncRNA from 13 species